GGUGCGUAACGCGUAUGCAACCUACCUCUUACUGGGGAAUAGCCCGAAGAAAUUCGGAUUAAUGCCCCAUAUGCUCGUACGGCCUCAUGGUCGAGCGAGGAAAGCUCCGGCGGUAAGAGAUGGGCAUGCGUCCUAUUAGCUUGUUGGUGAGGUAAUGGCUCACCAAGGCUAUGACGUUUAGGGGACCUGAGAGGGUGACCCCCACCGAUGAAACUGAGACACGGUUCAUACCCC
rnacentral:rRNA from 1 species